rnacentral:lncRNA from 1 species
GUAUGUAACAACCAAGAGCCAAGUGAUUUCUUGCCCAGCUCAGAAAGAAUAAGCUGCUAUGCAAUUUCCUAGAAACUCAGAGAAACAUCUGGGGACAGGGACAUACGAUUCCUGAAUUGAAUGGUAUUACCAUUCAUAUGGGACAGGAGCUCAAAAAUAGAAUUCAUUUUAAAGAAAUUUACAGUUGCUUUUUUUGAAAACCGAAGUUGGUUUUCUAAUAUGAAUACUUGCGACAUAACUGAAAAUCCAGCAAAAACAAUUUACAAAGACAGCAUAAAGAAAUACAUCAUCUAUGAACUUUCGGUUUUAGCUCUGACAUAUAAGACCAUUGAAGUUGACACUCUCAUCUUAAUAACAAGAAAAAGCUGAAGAAACUGAGAACCAACUUUUCUUAGAUCUGUCAGAGAGUUGAGUUCACAGAGCAGACUGCCACCCCAAAAUCUGAGAAGCAGGUGAAUCCAGAGCGUUGCAGAACCUGAGACUGAUUUGCGAUUUGGGAAAAUGAAUGCAGAACGAGGAGAACUGGUUCCACGGCCGCAUCAGAACGUCAAGAGUUAUCAUGGCUGGACUUUCAUUUCUCUAACAUUCAGACCGGCAUCCUGCAGGAAGCAAAGAAUCUUUAAUACUGGGCACAGAAGGCUCCGGGACCUGUCAGAAAUGUUAACCUCUUAAAGCUGAUUGUGAUCCUCCAAAGGUAUGAAGAGAAGACUUUCUUCCUUCCAGUGUCUGUGUCUUUGUUAUCUUAUCUGUAAAUUGGAGAGUUAGAGUCCCCUUUCUUAUGCAGCAAUCAUGACAAAGAUGUGAUGUUUGAAACUGCUUAACACAGAUCCCCGCACAAAGCACCCAGGAUACAGCAUGCCUUCUGCUCCUCUCAGCAGCUGCCACCACCUACCCUCUCCAGUGGGCACUCUCCCCAAAGCCCAGCUUCACCAAAAAAUUCCCAGCCAUCCCCUCUUUACUGCCGCUGGAGGCAGAUAUAACUCUUGCUGUCUGAAUUGCUUUCUUGUUGAUCACGAUGGGGAGCCCAUCAGGGAGUUACAAACUAAAAAAUAAGAGGGACUGUACAAGUCCAGAAGAUUUUUCUGGCCCUGUUCCCUGCCGUCCAGUCCCAUACUUCUUACUGGUAGCAUGAACCAAAGCAGAGUAAGAAUUUUCCCGCAACAAAACUCUCUCUCUCUCUCUCUCCUGACUUUUAGUAAGCAGUUUUCUGUUUUGGUGCUCCCAAAUCACUGUGAAUCACAAUCACAGGGCGAGCUUGUAAACGGUGCAAUCCUUAAUAUUGUUAACUUGUGGUUAUCAUAACGACGUGUCAAAAAUACGACAUGCAACCGACCUUGUAUUCACAAUAAAAAUUAAAUAUUUAAAUAAUGUUAUUAUCAAGCAAAAAGGUAUAAAAAUAGAUUACUUACAAGUUAUACUCAAAACCACAGUAAAGACAGUAUUCUGUUCUAUGAAUGGACAAAAGCAGAGGAAAAUAAGCGCUUA